UUGAGGUCAUCGUGAAGAAGAGUGCCGAGAUAUGGAGAUAUGUAGGGGUUGCGUGACUGUGAACUGGCCUGAUGUCGCCUUUGAUGGAUGACGGCAGAUCUGUCAGCACUGGAGGGGAAGCCCCUGGAUGUCUGGCCAUUGACUCACCCAUCGAAUUAACAAUGUACCAUUAAACUUCCCCUCUAAAAAACAACAUGUGACCAGUUUAAGUGGAGUAAAAGCCGUGGUUAGUGAGCGUACUAGUAGUACAGUGUACAGUAGACAGUCUGUUGUGCUAGGAUACCAAGUGUUGCUCACUUAUAGUUUUGUUCAAGGCACCUGCUAUACAGAUCCAGGAACAUGUCCGAGCGAGGACGUGUCAAUGGGAAGCCGGACUCCCCGGGGAUUAGCAGUGACCCUGCAGUAAGACGCAGUGCAUUUGUAGUGACCAUACCCUCUAGUAAGACUCAAGGUUUGACAGCAGUGCAAACAGCAGAAGACCAACCAAUAACAGUAACCACAGCAGCAGUUAAUAUCCAGUCAACCAACCCUUACCUUUUCAGCGUCACAG